AUGUUCAUGGUUUGUUUCAAAUUUGAAUUCCCUGCUUGCUUUUCACUUGAUAUGAUAUUGAACUUGGAUAAAUUUGAAUGGAAAAAGUUGGAUAUUUCUUCUCAAAAUCCAACUAUUACGGGAGAGGGUGAAGCUGAUAGUCAACCAACUAUUAGAAUUCCACCUGAUUUGGAUAUAUGGAUAGAGUCUGUUGGAAAGAAGAUAGGGAGGGUAUUUGGUCUUGGAACCGUUUCCAAGACUUUGGUUUUCAUUAUCAAAUAA